CAGUCGCCGCGGUAAUACAGAGGGUGCGAGCGUUAAUCGGAUUUACUGGGCGUAAAGCGUGCGUAGGCGGCUAAUUGAGUCGGAUGUGAAAUCCCCGAGCUUAACUUGGGAAUUGCAUUCGAUACUGGUUAGCUAGAGUGUGGGAGAGGAUGGUAGAAUUCCAGGUGUAGCGGUGAAAUGCGUAGAGAUCUGGAGGAAUACCGAUGCGAAGGCAGCCAUCUGGCCUAACACUGACGCUGAGGUACGAAAGCAUGGGGAGCAAACAGGAUUAGAUACCCGUGUAGUCCCUGUCUCUUAUACA
rnacentral:rRNA from 1 species